UUUAAGACCAAAAUAAUAAAAAUAAGUUAUACUUAAAGGACGAAAAAUGUAGUUUACUUCUUUGUUUUAAAACCUUGUCCAAAAUAGAAAAAGAAAAAGGCAGAGAUUUGACUUUUGAGGCUCAUUUCUACGUUUUUGCACACAGAUCAAGAAUACCGUUGAAUCAUCUUCCCCGGUGUCGCGAAGGUUCAUCGGUUCUUCCGAUUUGCACCAUCUUCAAGAUUUAACACAAACCAUUCUUCCUACCCAAUUCUCAAUUUCAAUCACCUCUUCCGAUUGAGAAUCAUCAUCGGUAGGGUUUUGUAGUUCGAUUAAAUCAUGGAGGAAACAGAGGGAGGUCUAAGCUUUGAUUUCGAAGAACCUACCGCAUCUUUAGCUGCAAUCCACCAAUCCGCUGAUCGCAAUAGUAAUAAUGAUAAUAACGUAUCAUCCGCUUCUGCAGUGAACGUGAACUCAGCCUCCGGCGACAACCCAGCUUCAAAUUUUCCCGGACGGAGGAGCUACCGUCAGACCGUAUGUCGCCACUGGCUCCGCGGUCUUUGUAUGAAAGGCGAGGCCUGCGGAUUCCUCCAUCAAUAUGACAAAUCAAGAAUGCCGAUAUGUCGAUUCUUCCGGUUGUACGGAGAGUGCCGACAACAGGACUGCGUUUAUAAACACACCACCGAAGAUAUCAAAGAGUGUAACAUGUAUAAAUUAGGGUUUUGUCCCAAUGGUCCUGAUUGUCGAUAUAGACAUGCAAAACUACCUGGACCUCCUCCUCCAGUUCAAGACGUACUCCAAAAGGUUCAUCAAUUAAAUUCCAGUCAUGGGAAUCCCAAUAGGUUUUUCCAGAAUCGGAAUUCCAACCACUCUCAGCAAUCUGAAAAAUCCCAAUUUCCACAAGGGGUAAAUAAUAGUGUCAAUCAAUUCAUCAUACCUACCUCAACAGAUUCUUCUACAUUUAGCCAGACAGCUUAAUUUCAUGUCCAAUUGAAUGGCAAACAGAAGUGAGUGUUCAGAGAUCUAAGUUUUUCCUUUAGAUUUUACAUGUGCGUUGAGGCGAAUCAUACACAAUGUUAGGAGGGAAAAGAAAGCUAUGGAAAGCAACAUAUGGAAAUUGACUACAUUCUUCUAGCAUAUGUAAAUAGUAAGAGACACCCCCAGAAGAUUCACCUUGUACUCAAGGUGAAAUUCUGGAAAUUGAUCAAUCCAAAUCUUGCUAUUUAAUCAAUUCUUCCCGUUGCCCUGUAUUUAUGCGUCGACACUGUAAUACUUAAACUAAUUCUAGUUGAUCUGUCAACUAUGGUGGUGGUAAUAUAUAUGGUGGACGAAGUACAUGAUACAAUUGUUCUUUUCAGUUGUGAGAUAUGAAAAACAUUAUGUAAUAUGAGACAUAACCUUCGCAAUUUGUUCAAGAUAUUCAAAGGGUCUAUGCAAUCUUGCUCACAACUUCUUAUUUGUCUUUGAUUGUAAAGAUAUUUGUAGAUACGUUUCUCCAAUGUUAAAAAUAUCAUCCUUAAGGACGUUUUUGGGUGUAUAACUUCA